UACGGGGGGGGGGGCAAGCGUUUUGUUUCGGAAUUUACUGGGCGUAAAGGGCCAGUAGGCGGCCAACUAAGUCGGAUGUGAAAUCCCUCGGCUUAACCGGGGAACUGCAUCUGAAACUGGAGAGCUAGGGUUUCUGGAGGGGGGGAAAGCGGAAUUUCCUGGUGUAGCGGUGAAAUGCGUAGAUAUCAGGAGGAACACCGGGUGGCGAAGGCGGCCAUCUGG
rnacentral:rRNA from 1 species